rnacentral:rRNA from 1 species
GACGAACGCUGGCGGCGUGCUUAACACAUGCAAGUCGAGCGAUGAAGCUUCUUCGGAAGUGGAUUAGCGGCGGACGGGUGAGUAACACGUGGGUAACCUGCCUCAUAGAGGGGAAUAGCCUUCCGAAAGGAAGAUUAAUACCGCAUAAGAUUGUAAUAUCGCAUGAUAUAGCAAUUAAAGGAGUAAUCCGCUAUGAGAUGGACCCGCGUCGCAUUAGCUAGUUGGUGAGGUAACGGCUCCAAGGCGACGAUGCGUAGCCGACCUGAGAGGGUGAUCGGCCACAGUGGGACUGAGACACGGCCCAGACUCCUACGGGAGGCAGCAGUGGGGAAUAUUGCACAAUGGGGGAAACCCUGAUGCAGCAACGCCGCGUGAGUGAUGACGGUCUUCGGAUUGUAAAGCUCUGUCUUUAGGGACGAUAAUGACGGUACCUAAGGAGGAAGCCACGGCUAACUACGUGCCAGCAGCCGCGGUAACAC